AGGGUUCGAUUAUGGCUCAGGAUGAACGCUGGCGGCGUGCUUAACACAUGCAAGUCGAGCGAAGCAUUUAAGUGGAUUUCUUCGGAUCGAAGCUUAUCUGACUGAGCGGCGGACGGGUGAGUAACGCGUGGGGAACCUGCCCUAUACAGGGGGAUAACAGUUAGGAAUGACUGCUAAUACCGCAUAAGCGCACGGAGCGGCAUCGCUCAGUGUGAAAAACUCCGGUGGUAUAGGAUGGCCCCGCGUCUGAUUAGCUGGUUGGUGAGGUAACGGCCCACCAAGGCGACGAUCAGUAGCCGGCCUGAGAGGGUGAGCGGCCACAUUGGGACUGAGACACGGCCCAA
rnacentral:rRNA from 1 species